UGGAUAGCUUAAAUUGUUGUCUCGCCAAUUUGAGCAAAACUUAAGAGGCUCGUGGUUGGCAUCCUGACUGUCGGUUCGCCAACCAUUAAAGCCAUAGACAGAAUCUAAACAUGUAGAGUCAUGGGCGUAGUACUGGCGGACGCGGGUUCAACUCCC
rnacentral:sRNA from 1 species